CCCGCUGAACUUAAGCAUAUCAAUAAGCGGAGGAAAAGAAACUAACAAGGAUUCCCCUAGUAACUGCGAGUGAAGCGGGAAAAGCUCAAAUUUAAAAUCUGGCGGUCUUGCGGCCGUCCGAGUUGUAAUCUGGAGAAGCGUUUAUCCGCGUCGGACCGUGUACAAGUCUUCUGGAAGGGAGCGUCGUAGAGGGUGAGAAUCCCGUCUUUGACACGGACCGCCGAUGCUUUAUGUGAUACGCUCUCGAAGAGUCGAGUUGUUUGGGAAUGCAGCUCAAAAUGGGUGGUAAAUUCCAUCUAAAGCUAAAUAUUGGCGAGAGACCGAUAGCGAACAAGUACCGUGAGGGAAAGAUGAAAAGCACUUUGGAAAGAGAGUUAAACAGUACGUGAAAUUGUUGAAAGGGAAGCGCUUGCAACCAGACUUGCGCGUAGUUGAUCAUCCAGAGUUCUCUCUGGUGCACUCGAUUACGCUCAGGCCAGCAUCAGUUUAGGUGGUUGGAUAAAGGCCUUGGGAAUGUAGCUCCUUUCGGGGAGUGUUAUAGCCCUCGGUGCAAUGCAGCCUACUUGGAUUGAGGACCGCGCUUCGGCUAGGAUGCUGGCGUAAUGGUUGUAAGCGACCCGUCUUGAAACACGG
rnacentral:rRNA from 1 species